rnacentral:lncRNA from 1 species
GAUUUCACAAUUAUUAACACCCAAUGACCCUUACACAAAAUGAUCCAUAUAAAUGAAAUAUACUAUAUAAAAAAAUAUUACAAGGACCAAAUAUAGAAGGAGACUAACCCUGGAUUAUAAGGCACCAAGUAAAAUUGAUCCCCAUCUACAUUUUUCAGGUGAUUUGAGAGAUAUUUUGAACGGUGAGAUAACGUUCCAGAUUGAGAGCUGACUUGUCCAGGGUCCACGAGGGCAACAAGGUUUACCAUAUUUGCCAUUUUAAAAUAUUCAAAUAGGUACCUAAUUAAAUAUAUGAAAUUAAAUAAAAUGAUAUUUUAAUUUAAAAGAAAGGAAAUGUAAAAAAAAAAAAAAAUUUGAAUUUCUAGAAUUACUUCAUGUAUAUUGCAAUCACUGUGGAUCCAAUCUCAACCAUGGAAGCAAACUGUAAAACGUCUUCAUACAAGAGGCAGGUAUCAUGCUCAGUGCCAAAAAUUUCCUUUGGCAUGUGAAUUGUAAUGGUCUCAUUAGCAGGCUUCAACUUGGUCUCGACAUAUUGGCAUAGGGUUAACAGAGGAGAUGGCAUGUCAAGCUUUGAGAGAUCCUGUAACAAGAAAUAUAAAUAAAGAAAUAAAAGUUAGUUUGUACAUGAAGUAAAAUAGACGACUCCAACAAAUACACAAAACUGACGUGGCAUAUAAUAUCAACGACGGUUUCUAGAACAUACUGACGGGGUAAAGGUUAUAGACGACGGUAAAUACAUAAUCGUCGUCGUGUAAAUGUUGUAACGUCACUGCAUAAUAGAAAGGUCGUCUAGGUUAAAAUAGACGACGAAUGGUAAAUUUAAA